rnacentral:lncRNA from 10 species
CACUAUUGAAAGUGUUUUAUGCACAGUAUCCUAAGUCUUUAGGUAUGGCAUUUACUAAUCUGUAACCCUGGGAACUUAUAAUUACUACAAGAAAUAGGAUGAAUCCCUAUCUGAGUGGGAAGGUAUUUGAUUGUCUUAGAAGCAGAGGUGGAAAUGAAGGUGAUGUAUUCAGACUCAGUCAAGGCAAGGACCUGAUCUAUCUUGUCAUAGCUUUAUGUCCCACUCCUGGAACACAGCCCACUACAUAGCAGGCACCCAACAAAUACAUUACAGGGUUAUAAUAACAUUGAGUCAACUAGUUAACUAGAUGUAAAAUCACUUUUACUGGGUUAUUGUUGUGGCCAAAUGGGUUAAUAAAAAGUGUACAGAUAACCCUCAAGAUCCUCAUUUUUAUUGUUUUGUGUUUAAACAUCUGAGUGCUCCCCCCACUUUUUUUUAAAAUAAACUAGAUUAGAUUCUUGA